GAUUCUGGCUCAGGAUGAACGCUAGCUACAGGCUUAACACAUGCAAGUCGAGGGGCAUCAGGUAUCUAGCUUGCUAGGUAUGCUGGCGACCGGCGCACGGGUGCGUAACACGUAUCCAACCUGCCCAUGGCCCGGGGAUAGCCUUCCGAAAGAAAGAUUAAUACCCGAUGGUUUCGUGAGUCCGCAUGGGCACACGAGUAAAGAUUCAUCGGCGAUGGAUGGGGAUGCGUCCGAUUAGCUUGUGGCGGGGUAACGGCCCACCAAGGCGACGAUCGGUAGGGGCUCUGAGAGGAGGGUCCCCCCACACUGGAACUGAGACACGGUCCAGACUCCUACGGGAGGCAGCAGUGAGGAAUAUUGGUCAAUGGGCGAGAGCCUGAACCAGCCAAGUAGCCGUGAGGGAUGACUGCCCUAUGGGUUGUAAACCUCUUUUGUUUGGGAAUAAAGGGCCCCACGCGCUGGGGCUUUGCAUGUACCUUACGAACAAGCAUCGGCUAAUUCCGUGCCAGCCGCCGC
rnacentral:rRNA from 1 species